UCUUCCUCCUUCUUCCUCCUUCUCCUUCUCCUUCUUCUUCUCCUUCUCCUUCUUCUUUUCUUCUUCUCCUCCUCUUCCUUCUUCUUCUUCUCCUCCUCCUCCUCCUCCUUAUUUUACUUCUUCUUCUCUAUCUCUUCUUCAACGUAGCUUAGACUCAUCCAAGAAAGGCUAAAUUGGCUAAUUAUCCUACGAAAUGACAU
rnacentral:lncRNA from 1 species